GUCCAGCUGAUGAGUCCCAAAUAGGAUGAAGCAUGAGUCCUGGAU
rnacentral:hammerhead_ribozyme from 1 species